ACAGUAACAGUGGGUUCCUCCUCCUGGUUUGUAUUCUUUCUUCCUGGAGGGAAGAGAAGUGAGAAAUUUGGGAGCUGGGAGUGGAAGGACAGACGGGAGGAAGGUCUGGAGUCUUAGCCCUAGGAAAAAUAUUCAGAGUGAUAGAGGUGGUUCUCAACUUACGACCACAAUUGAGCCCAAACUUUCUGUUGUUAAGUGAGACAUUUGUUAAGUCUGACGAGGCACAGAAACAUGGUGAGCAGCAGGGAGGCAUGGAGUCACAUCUUCAUUUCCAGGGGUUUCGAUAGGUGUUCGUGCCGCUGUAAGGAGCCCCAGGAACCAAGAUGUGAUGUCCAUUCAUGAUCUGUGGAGGUAUGUGUUCUGAAGCCCCCAAGAAGGCAGCUACACUAAAGCCCUCUCUCCCCGGGAGGCCAGACG